rnacentral:rRNA from 1 species
GAACGCUAGCUACAGGCUUAACACAUGCAAGUCGAGGGGCAGCAUGGUCUUAGCUUGCUAAGGCCGAUGGCGACCGGCGUACGGGUGAGUAACACGUAUCCAACCUGCCGUCUACUCUUGGACAGCCUUCUGAAAGGAAGAUUAAUACAAGAUGGCAUCAUGAGUCCGCAUGUUCACAUGAUUAAAGGUAUUCCGGUAGACGAUGGGGAUGCGUUCCAUUAGAUAGUAGGCGGGGUAACGGCCCACCUAGUCUUCGAUGGAUAGGGGUUCUGAGAGGAAGGUCCCCCACAUUGGAACUGAGACACGGUCCAAACUCCUACGGGAGGCAGCAGUGAGGAAUAUUGGUCAAUGGGCGAGAGCCUGAACCAGCCAAGUAGCGUGAAGGAUGACUGCCCUAUGGGUUGUAAACUUCUUUUAUAAAGGAAUAAAGUCGGGUAUGGAUACCCGUUUGCAUGUACUUUAUGAAUAAGGAUCGGCUAACUCCGUGCCAGCAGCCGCGGUAAUACGGAGGAUCCGAGCGUUAUCCGGAUUUAUUGGGUUUAAAGGGAGCGUAGAUGGAUGUUUAAGUCAGUUGUGAAAGUUUGCGGCUCAACCGUAAAAUUGCAGUUGAUACUGGAUAUCUUGAGUGCAGUUGAGGCAGGCGGAAUUCGUGGUGUAGCGGUGAAAUGCUUAGAUAUCACGAAGAACUCCGAUUGCGAAGGCAGCCUGCUAAGCUGCAACUGACAUUGAGGCUCGAAAGUGUGGGUAUCAAACAGGAUUAGAUACCCUGGUAGUCCACACGGUAAACGAUGAAUACUCGCUGUUUGCGAUAUACUGCAAGCGGCCAAGCGAAAGCGUUAAGUAUUCCACCUGGGGAGUACGCCGGCAACGGUGAAACUCAAAGGAAUUGACGGGGGCCCGCACAAGCGGAGGAACAUGUGGUUUAAUUCGAUGAUACGCGAGGAACCUUACCCGGGCUUAAAUUGCAGAUGAAUUACGGUGAAAGCCGUAAGCCGCAAGGCAUCUGUGAAGGUGCUGCAUGGUUGUCGUCAGCUCGUGCCGUGAGGUGUCGGCUUAAGUGCCAUAACGAGCGCAACCCUUGUUGUCAGUUACUAACAGGUUCCGCUGAGGACUCUGACAAGACUGCCAUCGUAAGAUGUGAGGAAGGUGGGGAUGACGUCAAAUCAGCACGGCCCUUACGUCCGGGGCUACACACGUGUUACAAUGGGGGGUACAGAGGGUCGCUACCACGCGAGUGGAUGCCAAUCCCCAAAACCUCUCUCAGUUCGGACUGGAGUCUGCAACCCGACUCCACGAAGCUGGAUUCGCUAGUAAUCGCGCAUCAGCCACGGCGCGGUGAAUACGUUCCCGGGCCUUGUACACACCGCCCGUCAAGCCAUGGGAGCCGGGGGUACCUGAAGUGCGUAACCGCGAGGAGCGCCCUAGGGUAAAACUGGUGACUGGGGCUAAG